CUAAGCCCCAAGAUUUGGAUUUUCACAAAGCGCUUAUAAACCCACCCAACUGAGCUUCAACACUUCUUAGAAACAGAUUUGGUAUACUAAGCUUGAGCUUACCAUUACAGUGUUUUAUGCAUGAAAGUGCCAAGUCAGAGAAAACAUGAGUAGAGAAUGGGGAAGGAGAGAGACGGAAAAGAAGCCGUUGCACGAGUUUUAACUGAUGAGAAGCACAUUGUCAGGUUCUGCCCUGGGGAAUCCCACUCUGGCUAUGUCUGCAGGGAUGGUAGAUGAAGAACACAGAACAAGAAUCAUAGAAGAUAAGGAGCCACAAAGGUUCACUCUGUUUUCAAAGGUGCAGUCAAAAUGUUACACUUCUAAACUGUGGCAACGAGACACACCCUGAAGAAAGAGAGCGUUACACCUUCACAAGAAAACAGAGAAACCAAGAUACCUUGUGAUGUCUUGUACAUACCAAGAAAAAUAUGUCCUAACCUUGAAAGCCCAUUUUGGGUGUGAGUGGAACCACAUCAUUACAAAACCAAAAAGCUGUAUCUUUCUCAUCCACUAUACCCCUUCUUUUCCAAAUGGACACCUGAGACUUUGAGCUACUUCAUACAACAGAGUUUCACACUGGGACCUCCCACGUCUACCUGCAUUUCAGGCCCGAAUCUUUCCUGGCAUCAGAUUUAUCAUCAAGAACCUUUCUGUGGUUCAUUUCUUGGGGCACAAUUCUCUCGUGAUGGGGACUAAUCCCGUCAAAUCAUCCAUUUUUGUUAACAUUAAUUGUGAUAUCCAUUCCAGGUAUCUGCUUUGUGUAUAAAAAGGAAAUUUCUGAAGAUACAGCUUUAUGUGAAAAGGAGUGAUUUUAGUUGCAGAGGUUUCAUACAUAAUGGGAGGCUGGUGAAAAAGAUUAUUCCUUGCUGAAAAACUCUGGAAAAAUCAUGCCAUACAGAAAGCUGUCCACAUGGCCUAUGCAUGGAUUCAGUGCUGUGGGGGAAGGACAUACUCUUUACACUUUUACAACUUCCUGAUGUGAGUGGUUCACUCACAGGAAAAGGGGCAAUGCCUUUGUACUGACACUUUCACCCCAAGUUUCCAGCCUGUGGAGUGGAAGGACAAUUUUUCAUCUAUCAGGCCAGGCCCUUGAUGCAGGAGAAGGUGGCAGUGAAGGAUCUGGAAGGGGCGUCUUUCUGUGUCUCAGCUGUUUCCUGGAAGUUUGCUCCUGGGCACCUCCACCUUUUCUUCACCUCUACCUUCCUUCAUUAGGAGAAACCAGAAUGGUCCCCGACUUCCCAGAGCAGGUCCCCAGCAAGGAGCAAAGAAACAAAAUACAAAGUAAAUAAACACUGGGACAAGAGGGCAUGCAGAGUAAUGAUAAUGUUGUGAACAUGAAAAGCACUGUGGCCUCACUCCACAUCUGAUAUGUUCGGAUAUUUUAUCCCCUCCAUUCGCAUGCUGAGAUGUGAUCCUCAUGUUGGAGGUGGGCCUGGUGGGAGGUGUUGGGGUCGUGGAGGUGGAUCCCUCAUGAAUGACUCGGUGCCCCCUCAUGGUAAUGAGUAAAUUCUUGCUCUGUGAGUUCACCCAAUAUCUGGUUGUUUAAGAAAGCCUGGAACUUCCAGCUCCCUCUCUCUUGCUCACUCUCUCCCUCAUGUGACAUCCAGGCUCCCCUUAGACUUUUCACCUUGACUAUAACAUUCCUGAGGCCCUCACCAGAAGCAGAUGCUGGCACGAUGCUUUGUGUGCAUCCUGCAGAACUGUGAGCCAAAUAAGCUUAUUUUUGUUAUAAAUUACCCAGCCGCACAUAUUCCUUUAUAGCAAUGCAAAUGGACUAAUGCACCAUCCCCAGUGGCCUCCUUCCAAUCCACAACCUGCUAGCCAAGCAAGGGUGGUGGAGGCAGAUUUGAGGGUGAGCCCUGGGAUAUGAGGCAACUCUCAUGUGUGACUGGCUGUGGCCUUGAAGCAGCUGCAAUGAUUUUCAUCUCCUGGGCAGACUGAGGUUAGGAGUUUAAUCUAUGCUACGGGGUGAGGUCAGAACACCUUCCCUUGUUUUGAUCUCAUUGGGCUCCAGCCUCCCUUAUAAAGGUCCUAUUAAAAGGGGCUAUAACUGCCUCUGUCUUGGCCUGCCUACUCUAUGGGAAUUUUCCUAUAAUUUUGAAGUAUUUCAAAUCAAAAUUUAAUUAUUUGGAAUGGUUUAUUUAAAACCCUUCUGAAGGAAAGAGGAAGGGCUAAAUGAGGUCUUUGGCAUUCUCCUGUACUGCUACUUUCAGUGGGGCUCUUUCUGCCCAAGGCUCUUUUUCAGUAAAUUGCCCUGGUUGGCUAAACCCAGUGGGUUUCUUCCUAUCACCAUAUCCCAUAUACUCUUACAGGAAUUUCAGAAGAAUUACUCCUUUUUGUUUCCUGAAAUGAGCAUUCUAUGAGCCUAUGUUUUUAAAUAAAAUAGCCUGGAACCAUUUUCAUUAAAAGAUAGUACAGCAGUACAGUGCAAACAUUUAACUUAUGAAAACUAACAAGCAGAUGAAACAAAAAGAGUUGAGGGCACUCAGUGAGGAAUGCUCACUAUUGAGGUGUUAGUCGUGAAGCACUGAAGAGAGUUUGAGAGAGUUCAGGGAGGUGUUCUAAGCACAUCUGCCCUCAGCAUGUACUGUUUGUAUAGGAUGUGAGGUUCUGGACCAAGUCUCAGCAAGGAGAGAAAAGGAGUGGGGAAUGCAAUGAGGUCUCUCUCCUCAUAGUGCUCAGUCCAGGGGAAACCUAGAAAGGAGUAAGUCAGGGUCACCCUACAACUAUUUUUGAGGCCACAGUUGCACAGGGCACCCACUGAACACCAUUUCAGUUCAAAAGACACACUUGCUUAUGAGCCUCAUUGAGGGUAACUCAUCUUGUAUUCACCAGAGAAAGGGGGAAACCCACUAAUCUAGAAGUAAAGGGACCUGUAACACAAGAGCUUCUGUAUGACACUGCCAAGGCUCUGUACUGACUUUCAAAAACAAAACAAAAGUAAGAAGUUUAUAAUGGUAAGAAGAAUUGAAACCUGCAAAGCAAGUUUAUCAAAAUAUAAGGUUAAAGUGGGGAUUCCAAAUUGUCCAAUAUAAUAUGACGCUAAGUCAAAAUUUCGUUACCACCUUGAAACUUUUCUUCAUGAGAAUUUUGUUCCAUCUGUGUCUCAUUAACAUGUUCACUUAUGUUUACUGUCCUAUGAAGUCAUUACAUAGCCUCUUUUCUGAGGGCUCAGACCUCUAGACAGUCCUUCCUCAAGUUCACCUGAGAGUCACACCUGGCCUGAAACCUUUAAAUCUAAGAGAAAAACUCACCUAUACAUUUCAACAAUGUUUACUUAAAAAUCCAAGUUAUCCAAGGUCAUAAUUUUCAUGGAAUAUUGCCAGAGGGUCUUUAACUAAAUGUCACCUUUUAAUUAAGAAGGCAACUGGCAACUAUUUCUAAAACUUAGAUUGCCGUCUCAACAUUCUCUAUUUCUCUUUACCUCUCCUUAUUUUUUCCUUAGCACUUACCACCAUUUAACCUAGAUUAUAUUAAAUGUGUCUGGUUUGUUGUCUGUGUCACAUAGUAGAAUGUUAGUUCCAUAAGGGAGUAAAUUUUGACUCUUAUUUACAACUAUAGUCCCAGUAUCUAAAACAAAGCUUAGAACACAUUAAGAACUUGAUAAAUAUUCAUUAUCAAAUUCUACAGCUCAACUUAGCACCACUAGACCCAUUGACUCUGAUGCUGAUAUCUUCUCAACAAAAUCAUACAUGACAUAAGAAAAAUAAAUAGCUUCUUCUCAUAUGAUGGGUUUUCUAGACCAAUAUUAACCAGUGUCUACAUGUGACUGUUGAGCAUGGAAAUGUGACUAGUCCAAAUUGAAAUGUGAGUAUGAAAUACACACUGGAUUUCAAAGAAUUUGGAUAAAAAAAGGAUGGAGAAUAUCUCAGGAAUCAUUUUAUAUUGAUUGCAUAUUGAAAUGAUAGUAUUUUAGAUAUAUUGGGU
rnacentral:lncRNA from 10 species